AAGACCUUGCACUUUUGGAGCGGCCGAUGUCUGAUUAGCUAGUUGGUGGGGUAAUGGCCUACCAAAGCUUCGAUCAGUAGCUGGUCUGAGAGGACGGCCAGCCACACUGGGACUGAGACACGGCCCAGACUCCUACGGGAGGCAGCAGUGGGGAAUUUUGGACAAUGGGCGCAAGCCUGAUCCAGCCAUGCCGCGUGAGUGAAGAAGGCCUUCGGGUUGUAAAGCUCUUUCAGCCGGGAAGAAAAGGUUGCGACUAAUAAUCGCAAUUCAUGACGGUACCGAAAGAAGAAGCACCGGCUAACUACGUGCCAGCAGCCGCGGUAAUACGUAGGGUGCGAGCGUUAAUCGGAAUUACUGGACGUAAAGGGUGCGCAGGCGGUUUUGUAAGUCAGAUGUGAAAUCCCCGGGCUUAACCUGGGAACU
rnacentral:rRNA from 1 species